CAUGUAGCGUUCUGAGUGGCCUGGGGAAAUCUGCGCUCCUGCUCCACCUCGCCUUGGAUACAAAUCCUUCUUUUGUCCAGCAUAUCCACACUUUCUACCCACCCAUCUGUUAGUCACUUCAUAGCCGGCUCAAUUACCAGAUGGACUGCUGUAACAUUGCAGUGCUUACGUUCAAGUAACCCUUCUCUUACUUCAUCAUGGCCUCAAAGCACAAGAGUAGUGAUGCUGGCAGUUUGGAUAUACCAAAGAGAAGCUGUAAAAUGCUUCCUUUUUCAGUGAAAAAGUGAAAGUUCUCCAUUUACUAAGGCUUUCACAGCUUUCUUCCCUUCAGCAGAGGGAGAAAAGCCAUCCAUCCAGUUUUAGUGGAGGCAAGAAAUUCAGGAGCCAUCAUUCCAAGAAGAACCUCUGCUCUAUCAUUUCACCGCAAAAUUUGAAUAGAGCAACUGAGAAAACAUCUUCUGAGAUUUGGGAAGUUCUCACAUAAUGUGGUUUUGUACCAGUCUUUAAAACCUUCCAGCUACACUGGCCACACUAUAAUUUCAAAUUAAUCUCUCACUGCUCUAGCUCUAUGGCCAUCUUCUUCCUCUGGACCAUUUAAUCGGAAUCUAGAAAAUCCUACCCAGAGAAAGCAGAAAAGAGAGGACAAGAAUCUCCAUUUCUUUGGGUCCAUCACCUGAUGGUCAUCUGAUUUUCUGGUGGAUCAAGGAUCUGAGCGGGUCCUCGGAGAGCAAUACUCAUUGCAACCAAGACCAUUUUCAUGUUAAUCCCCGAGAGAGAGCUGCAGAGACAGACCUGACACUUGGGCCAUCAUAGUGACCUGGCUUCCAUCCAUGACUUUGAGAUCAGAGAGGCCCUGCAGGAAGAUGGGUGCAUUGGGCUUGCUGGGAGCCACAGGCAGAAGGUACUCGCUCUUCCCGCUACUCUUCUUUUCUGUGUGGUAGAAAACAGAGUGUGGGGUGAACGUUCAUGCAUUCAUUCAACAAACACAGACUAAAUGACCACUUGGUACAUGACUGUGUUGAUGCUCAGGUUCCCACCAGAAACUGGCAGCUAACAGAUGAAGAGUGUUUGGAGUUCCUAGAGAUCAUUAGGAACAAGAUGCCUCCAAUUUCUCUGCUUGGCAAUGAUGAGGUUCUUGCCUGAUAGCCAGGAAUGAACAAUGAGUGCCUAUAAGUUUGUGAGUUUUUAAAACAUUUUAUUUAUUUUUCAAAUAAAUGAUACCCUCACAUGGCACAAAAUUCAAAAGAUACCAAAGAGUAUGGCAAGUCUCCCUCCCACCCCAUCCCCUGGCCACCAGUGAUCUCUCCUCAGAGGCAACGAGUUUUCAGUUUCUUGUUCAUCUUGGCAGAGAUGAUCUACGUGUGUAACAUAUGGAAGCAAACAGCAUUUAUUAUCUUCUUAAAAAGUAAAUGAAAGCACGUUAUACAAAAUAAUUGGCAUGUUUUUAACUUAACAGUACGUCUUGGUGUCUCUCAUAAGGCAGAACUGAAACGCUUCUUUGUCAUUUUCUAUAAUUAUAUGGUGCUCCAUUCCCAUCCUAGGAAGUUUUAAGCACCUCAUGAAAGCCAAGGACACUACACUCAUUAGAACGGCUAAAAAUAAAAAGACAUCACAUCCCAAGAAUUGGUCUUGACAAGGAUGUGGAGCAACUUGCAAAUCUCAUAUAUGGCAGGUGGUACAGAACCUCCUGAAAACAGCUUGGCAGUUUCUUAAAAAGUUAAACAUAUACUUCCCUUAGGAUCUAGUCAUGCUACUCCUGGGUAUGUCCCCGAGAGAAAUGCAAGCACAUAUCCAUACAAAGUCGUGUACACAAACUUUCAGAGCAGCUUCAUUCACAAUAGCUGCAAACUAGAAAUGACCCAAAUAUCCAUCAACAGGUGAGUAAAUAAACAAAUUGUGAUAUAUCCACACAAUGGAAUAUUACUCAGCAACAAAAAAGAAUGAACUACUGAGGGCACCACAACAGGGAUGAAUCUCACAAUAAUUAUGUUGAAUGAAAGACACCAAGCUGUAGGACCAGCUACUUGGGAGGCUGAGGUGGGAGGAUCACUUGAGCAUGGGAGGUUGAGACUGCAGUGAGCCAUGAUCACACCACUGCACUCCAGCCUGGAAGACAGAGUACGACUCUGUCUCAAAAGCAAAAACAAACAAACAAAAAAAAAAAAAAAAAGGAAGAAGCUAGACAAAGAGAGAGUACAUACUGGAUGACUCCAUUUAUAUAAAAUUCUAGAAAAUGCAAAGUCCAGUGACAGAAAGCAGGUCAGUAGUGGUGUGGGGCAGGGGACGGGAGGUUGGAUUAUAAAGGGGCAUGAGGAAACAUUUGGAGACAAUGAGAAUUUCACUUUAAAAAAUCAUGGCAAAGGUUUCAUGUGUGUACAUAUGGCAAAACUUAACAAAUUAAAC
rnacentral:lncRNA from 10 species